CCUACGGGUGGCAGCAGUGGGGAAUAUUGCUCAAUGGACGAAAGUCUGAUGCAGCCAAGCAGCGUGAAUGAUGAAUGCCCUCUGGGUGUUAAGCUUCUUUUACAUGGGAGUAAAUUGUUCCACGUGUGUGAUUUUGUAUGUACCAUAUCAAUAAGGAUCGGCUAACUCCGUGCCAGCAGCCGCGGUAAUACGGAGGAGCCGAGCGUUAUCCGGAUUUAGUGGGUGUAAAGGGAGCGUAGGUGGAUUGUUAAGUCAGUUGUGAAAGUUGGCGGCUCAACCGUGGAACUGCAGUUGAAACUGGCAGGCUUGAGUACAGUAGAGGUGGGCGGAAUUCGUGGUGUAGCGGUGAAAUGCGUAGAUAUCACGAAGAACACCGAUGGCGAAGGCAGCUCACUGGACUGAAACUGACACUGAGGCUCGAAAGCGUGGGUAUCAAACAGGAUUAGAUACCCGAGUAGUC
rnacentral:rRNA from 1 species